CCUACGGGAGGCAGCAGUAGGGAAUGUUGCGCAAUGGGCGAAAGCCUGACGCAGCAACGCCGCGUGAACGAGACGGCCUUCGGGGUGUAAAGGUCUGGAAGUGGGGACGAAAAAUGACGGUACCCACAGAGGAAGCAGCGGAGAACGCCGUGCCAGCAGGCGCGGUAAAACGGAGGGAGCAAGCGUUGGCCGGAAUCAUGGGGCGUAAAGAGGUCGUAGGCGUCUUUGAAAGUCCGGUGUUAAAGGCGCAGGCUCCACCUGUGUCUGGCACUUGAUACUUGCAAGCUGGACUGCGGUAGAGGUAAGCGGAAUUCCUGGUGUAGCGGUGACAUGCUUAGAUAUCAGGAGGAACAUCGGUGGCGUACGCGCUUUACUGGGCCGUAAUUGACGCUGAGGCUCGAAAGUGUGGGUAUCAAACCGGAUUAGAUACCCGGGUAGUC
rnacentral:rRNA from 1 species